rnacentral:sRNA from 1 species
AAAAAAAUCGCGCGUGUCUGGCCACAACCGCAAACCGCACGGAACAUAAAAUUGUCUUGAUAGUCGAAUUUAGGAUAUAAUAAUGCCUUAACCAAAAUAAUUACAGUGGAUUCGCCAUGUAUUACCACCGACGAUCCCUUUUGUCUUACCGAGUAAGGCGUUCCAUUCAAGUUUCGAACAGUAAAACCCAUUACUAUUCCUCUUUAGUAUUUUAGGUUGAGAUUAAAAUGCUUGGUCAUUGAAGAGAAAAAUCAAUUUGUGUUGUAAAAAGAGAAUUGUUAAUUAACUUUCAUCUAGAACCGAGGAACUGAAAAUAUGAAAAGAAAUCCCAUCUGUGUUGUCUUCUUUUAAAGAAGUAACUGAAAGCAAAUGUCUACAAUUUUGUUGUUUAAUCAUUAAAAUAUUUAUAGCAUUUUUAUAUGAUUAGCUAAUAUGCUGCUAAAGAAUUGAUAUUAUAAACACAGAUGGAUUCCUUUUUCUCGUACAACUUUUGUUCGCUUUGGUAUUCUUUAAAAUGUGUGAAUUUAAUGGAAUUGUAUAAUUUCGUAUUGUGAAACGCGAUAGGCAAACAAAGACAAUGCAAGGCCCAGAACAGAUGCGGUUUAAUUUUCUUCUCGUCUUUGGAGAAAGUUGCUAUUUUGAGGCUUUAUUUUGAAGAUAACAUGAUUAUGAUGUUGCAAUAAAUCAAUAAUUAAUUCAUAUUUAGUUGAACGUUCAAAACAACCCACAUGACUUGAUGCGCAUAGAAUCCAGCGUAUGUUUGGUUGCACUUUCUUUGAUAUUAAUUGCAGCGAGUAGAAGGGGUAUGAAAGGCAAAGACGGAACCAUAGGUCGGGUUUUUUUAAAAAUAUUCUUUUGCCUCAUUAUAAAUAAAUAAUCCCUAAAAGCGAGUUUUAUGUAUAUUAUAUAUAGUCGAUUAACUUUGUAAAGAAAUAAUAUAAAAAUAUAGCCAUGUUCAGCGUACAUGUCCAUAACCUGCUGCGAUUUAUUACAAGUUUGCUUUUGUAUGUUUCUUGUGUUAACUUUAGCUUUUUACUACCGAAAAGUAUUAUGAUCACAUGAAAAGAGGUUUGCAGUAAUCCUUAUGAUGGAUUGCAAGAUUUCUUUUUCUGUUAAUUCUUGUUGUGGAAUAUCAUUUUGUUUUUGCUAAUACAGUAACUCUCGAGUCGAACACCGGCCACGUGACUUGAAAGCUCCAAUCGUCUGUGUUGCUCACCUUCCCCCAAUCAGAAAGGUCACUUUAUAUAACACAAAACAAAACUAACGAAUUCGGACGGAUAACCUGCUAUUUGAAGCAUGUGUUGUAUUGACUGUACUAGCAUUAUCCACAAAGAAAUAAAAUAUUCCAGCAGAUGUGAAAAUCUGAAACUAUUGAAUUUUAGAAUAAAACAUUUUACGACAUUCUCGCACAAGAACAAUGCUUUUUGGAAAGCAAAGCAAUUGUAGAAAUUCAUUAGGUAUACGAAAUUAGUUAGUGUCAGUCAGUUUUUACCAUUACAACAAAACACUUACUUUUGGAAGAAAGAACUGGCCAAUUUAUUACGUCAUUUGAUAUUUUGUUCUGAAUUCGGUCAAAGCAUCUCUUGAAUGAUGUAAAAGUUAAUGAAAUUAAAUGAGCUCCACCA